GAUGAACGCUGGCGGCGUGCCUAAUACAUGCAAGUCGAGCGAACAGAUAAGGAGCUUGCUCCUUUGACGUUAGCGGCGGACGGGUGAGUAACACGUGGGUAACCUACCUAUAAGACUGGGAUAACUUCGGGAAACCGGAGCUAAUACCGGAUAAUAUUUCGAACCGCAUGGUUCGAUAGUGAAAGAUGGUUUUGCUAUCACUUAUAGAUGGACCCGCGCCGUAUUAGCUAGUUGGUAAGGUAACGGCUUACCAAGGCGACGAUACGUAGCCGACCUGAGAGGGUGAUCGGCCCCACUGGAACUGAGACACGGUCCAGACUCCUACGGGAGGCAGCAGUAGGGAAUCUUCCGCAAUGGGCGAAAGCCUGACGGAGCAACGCCGCGUGAGUGAUGAAGGCCUUCGGAUCGUAAAACUCUGUUAUUAGGGAAGAACAUACGUGUAAGUAACUGUGCACGUCUUGACGGUACCUAAUCAGAAAGCCACGGCUAACUACGUG
rnacentral:rRNA from 1 species